GGUAAAAUGACUGUGGUUACCUCUGUUGUGAGGAACUAGGCAGGCUGGUGCUCUGAUCCUGUUCAUGAUGCCACAUGCAGCAGAAAUCAGAGCUGACUCCUAGCAAAGAGGCCUAAAGGUCCUGCUGAAGUAGCAGAAAACAAGCUGGGAUUGUUUCACCUGCAUAGCUGGCCUUUGGCAUUCAUGUAGCCACAUACUCUGCAGUACCAGAGGGACCCACCUAUGCCUCCAGCGCAGCCACAUCUUGGGGCAGAGAUGUGGGGUCUUGUGGCAAGAGGUGCAUCCUACACGUUGGGGUGUGUGACCGGGUGUGGACCUGAAGCUGGCCUGGUCCCUCCAUCGCUGUGGAACUGGGAGCAGGCUCCUUCUUGCUGCUUGGAGGAGUGACAGAGGGAACUCAGAGCUCAGCACCGCCUCAGAGAUUGUUGCCAAGAGCCCAUGCCUGCUCACUGCAGGAUUCUUGUCUAUGAUUAGCUCUUGCAUGAUGUAUUCCCAGCUCACCGAAACCAGGUCUUAACUGCAGCUCUACAUAUUGACUGUGGUGAAGAAAUCUGACUUUCCCAGCUAAUCGUUUCCUUGCGGAGGCACUAGUGGAAGUGAUUGAGAUGAAGGGGUGUAGCAUCAUCUUGAUGCUGAAGAGCGUUCAUGGAAGCAUGUGAGGAUCCCAGCCUGACUGGCAGCCCCUCAUUUCUCCCCGCAUCGCUCCCCUGUGGAAGGCAGAGCAUGGCCCCAGCAGGAGACACCCCGACUUGCUUAGCGUGUCAGAGAAAACGGAGCCAACCUUGACUCACUGCCUGAGCAAAGGGCCCUGAAACGCAGCUUCUGAGGAGGAUGUGAACCAGCCAGAUUACCACCAAAUCACAUUUGUUAAGUCCCUCAGGCCAGAAACGAAGCCAGAUUUACCAUUUACACAAUCUAUCAUUUUACGAUCCUUCAGAAAAGGGGCACAUACACUUCUGUUAUAACUUUGUUUUGAAGCAAGGCAGUUGCACCUUUGUGUGACUUCAGAUAGCUUCAGCCAUUCAUCGUGAGAUGUGGUGGCAAGCAAGGCCCUUCCUUCAGCUUCCAGGAGUUUGUUUCAGAUGGAGUAAAGGAGGAGGAGCUGUGAAACGCACUGCUGCAGUGAAGAGAGCAAAUGCCAGGGUGUAAUCCAGGGAAUAAACAGAUCUGAGCAGGCUGGUCUCUUCUGCAGGAAAGAGGGGUGAGGAGAGACAGCCCCAUUUCUCAUUAAAGCAUGUAAUUGGUUACAAUGCUCUUUUUUCAUCAUGCAGUAACACAGCAUACUAAGUGAUGCAAGUUUCUUUUUUUCAAAUAUUUCAUAUGCAUCUGGUUCAUUCCUGACUUCAAGAAACAAAGGCAAAAGAGCCUUUCUGAUUGCUUGAUCCCUCUGAGGACCCCGCUCUUGCUGCUUCCUGAGGAAAGUUGUCUCCCUUUAUCUUUUUUUAGUAAUGUCUUGCUGAUUUAACCUCCCAGGAGAUAGUGGUUUUUUUUUUUUUUUUUUUUCUUCCCUAUUACUUUUAGUGUCUCUGGCAAGUGGUAGGUGGUAGCAUUCAGGAGAUUGCUUUGAUGGCCCUGUGUCCUCUUUGUUUCAUUUCCCAGGCAGUACUUGGAGGAGGGAGGAAAAAGGAUUGAUGUCAUAUCUUGUCUCCCAGCCUCUUCCUGCUCCCUGGGCUGUGCCACCAGCCUCACUGGUGCCACCUCCCCUUGCAGGGGCAGGUCACCCAGGGCCACCUCCGCUGCCAGGGCAAAGCCUGAGCCUUUCUCCUGACAGGGCCUUGGGCACUGCCCCCCUGCAAUCCACAAAUCUCUCCCACAGUGACACAAGACCUUGUUCCCAAAUUGUUUAGGCUAAGGCCAGCGAGCCUGUUUUCAAAGCAAAGUGCUGCUCUGCCUGUGCAAAUCUCUUAAUUUUUGACUUGGUAAUUCCCCCAGCAAGGAGGUUUAAAUGCAGCAUCUGUAUGCAACUGUUCUUUUCAGUGUUUUUCCUGUAAUGUGCCAUAACAUGUUGUGUCUUUGCACACCUCUGAACAAUGCUAUGAAAACAUUAGAGGAUUUUUCUAACAACUGGUGAGUUGGCCGCUCUUCAUAGCCAGCACAAACCCUCCUGACUGAUAAGCCUGGCUGCCCUAUCUUUACUUCUAGGGUCAGAGGAAAAAUAAAAGGAAGGUGGGUGCUGCAUCUGAAUAUUUUCAACAGCUAAUUCUAUUGGCAACCAGUGGCACAACAGAUGCUUUAUGAAGAGGUGAAGCAUCUCAGAGGCAUCUCAGGUGUGUUGGUGGAGAUGUAAUGGUGUGUGGAAGAGGGAGUUUGGGCAAGAAGGAUGGAAACUGAGCUCUUUGCUCCUCUGCAUCUCUGGGCACUGUGACGUGAUUUGCUCAGUGUCCUGCCUGCCAAGCAAUGCCAGCGUAUCCAUAGCGAUGCUGAGAGGCUUAAUUCACAGUGAGCGAAUUGUGGCCACAGCAGCGCUGCAUGCCUCUUGUACCUGUGCAUAGCUCAGUGCAGGAGCAGUAUUGUCCCAUGAUGCCCUGUCCUCGACAGGGGAGAGCAGGGAGGUACCCUGUGGCCAAAGGCACAGCUGCAGCAGCACCUGGGGAAGUGUUGGGAGUGCUGCUGGCUCUUGCUGAGGUGUGCUCGGGCAGGCCAGGGUGCUCUCUCCAUGUCUGACCACCUGCGUGCUCCUGAAGCAUCCCCACUGGAAAUGACACAGCCAUGUGGCUCAGAAAAACCUUUCUGAAGAGUAAGCUUUUAGCCUGGGUCUCCCACACCUGAGGCUCGUAACCUCACUGCUGGUUCAUUUUCCUGUAGGGACAGAAUAUGUUACAGAGCCAGAAUUUCAUGGGUAAAUAUGUCCCAGCAACUGCUAGAUCCACAGGCUGCAACCUCCCACCCCCCUCCAACAUCUGUAUUUUCAUCUCUGGGGAAUAGCAAUGUGGUGAAGAAUUCCUUUUGUUUCAAAUAUUUUAUCAUAGUGUUAUCUUGCCUAGUCUAAAUAAUGGUCCCACUUGCUCUUGAGAGUUGUACUCUGCAGGGGAAAGUUCUGACAAAUUUUGUUGUUCCCAGAGCACCCCCCCCAGCACAGGGACACAGGUACCUGUAACAUGGAGUAGCUGUGUGGCUCUUGAUAGCAUCAAUCUGGAUGCAUAUUAACUGAAAAGAAGAGGAAAAGUUGUCUCUCCAUGUCCCAAGCUGAGCCACCACAGAGAAAGAUCCAGGCUGUGAUGCUCCUGCCCUGGCCAUGCCACUUCUUGCAGCAGGAAGCCGUUCACAUCCCAGGCUCCGUUUCAGU